rnacentral:lncRNA from 1 species
UACCCUCCUUUAAUCUGCCUUGUUAAGUACAUGACAUUUCUCUUUGUUUGUGUUUGUAUUUUAGGUCCCUGGAAGAGUGCCUGACAUCUGUUGAACGAACCACCAUGGUGCAGGAGAGUAGGGAUGGCUUUGGUGAAGCCGUUGUUCACCCAGCCACUCAGCAAAAAAGACCAGCGUUGUCGUGGGCAGUGAGGAUCAAGAAGAAGCUGAAGACUGUAACUCCCUACCUGGGCAAGUUCAGACCAACUGUGGGACAGUGCUGCCACCAGUGUACCCCUGACAGCCUGGGCAAGAAGCUGGGACAGACCACGCCUUCUCUGGGCUUUCAGAAUCUACUCCGUGUCAAUGAGACGCACACUAGGUAUCGUGGUUGGCUGGUCAGAAGAGUGUGCUGUUUGCUCUUUGUCAGAGGCUGCAAAGUAUACCCCAGUCCUGCUACCGACAGAGUGGAGCGAGUCUGCCAAACUCAUGUUGAAAGGGUGGUUAUGAAAUGCAGUAAUGGAUUUUUUUUUUUAGCUCAAAUCCAGCUUUUGUCUGUCUCUAGGCUUGUUGGCUGGGUGAUACUGAAGGUGUUUGGGUCAGUGUUCUGCAGUAUUCAGGUCAACCUCAACCACAUGGCUUUCCUCCACAGAGCCUCACAGCAGGGUCCUCCCCUGGUGUAUGUUUUUGUGCCUCAGAGCGUUGUGGACUAUGCGCUCAUCCCUAUGGUUCUCUUCUGUCACAACCUCAGAGUUCCCUACACACUCUGUCACCUACAGAUACACAACAACUGGCUCAGGUCAGUCUUGCAGAGACUUGGUGUGGUCCUCCUGCCUCUGGGUCCAAUUACAGAGCAGGAAGCAGAAACAGACUGCCUUUACUCACCAGUCAUGACCUCCUUGGUUGGCGAGUUGCUGUGUGAGGGCCAGGCUCUGAGUGUGUGUGUGUCGGGAAUGAGCGGGCACGGAGGGCAGUGGCUGGCACGCAUCAGACAGGCUGUGACAGAGGGACUGGUGCCGGAUGUCCGCCUGGUACCAGUGGGCAUCUCCUACGACUGCAUCCCCAGCACCGGCACUCCGCUUAGUUUGAAGUUUCUUGAGAUGUGCAACACGGGGAGGUGUCGUGUGGAUGGAAGUCGCCCCCUGCUGGAGCUCCUGCUCCCCACCAUCCUACACAACAGGUCUGAUAGGCUAUUUGGCCAGAGAAUGAUGUCAUGGGUCCUGCCCCCAAAUUAUGUGCCUGAGCUCAGCCAAUCAGAGAGAGACCUCAGCAUUGCCCUCACAUUGCACCUUAGCUACUCCAUUAGGUCCUGCAUGGCAGUGAUGUCCACUAGCCUUGUAUCCUGUCUUCUACUGCACAAACACCGCAAGGGGGUGUGUCUGUCUGUGUUGUGCCGUGAUGUGGCCUGGCUGCUGGAGGAGGUCUUGUUCAGGAACCGAGAUGUGGGCUUUGGGGGGAGUCUGGUUGGGGUGGUCUACCACGCUCUCAGUCUACUCGUCCCUCACCUCAUCAUUGCUGCCCAUCCCAACGACAGGUCUGAUCCUCUCAUCGCUCCCCAUCCCUCUCUCUCCGCCACUCUGUCUCUUUCCUGCCACGCCCAGAUACUCACACACACCUUCAUCCAGGAGGCUGUAGGAGCAUGUGCGGUUUCGGCCAUGCUCUAUGAUGUAGCAACCUGUGGCGGUGACGACUGGGUUAAAGGUCAACAGUACAGAGGGGAGAUGGAGUUUGAUGUGGCGCUGUGUCAGGACGAACUGACUGAGAGAGCCCUACAACUCACACACCUACUGCCCCCAGAGUAUAUACCACCGUGUCAGUCAUCUCAUGAUUUUGCUCUGGAUGCAGUGGACACUCUGGUGCGCUGUGGCGUCCUAGUGAUGGAGGAGGUUCCCAGGGACACGCCGAUCUGCGAUUUCUGGAAGAAGCAGGGUACUCUGGCAUGGAGUGCCACGGACGACCCCAACCACUCUGACUCUGAGUGUGAAGAAGGAGAUGCACGCUGCUACAAGUUGAGCCAGCCCAGCCAGUGUCCAGAGCUGCUGUUCUUCCUGUGCAGUCUGAUGGCUGGCUACCUGAGGGCUCUGUGUUGGGCUACAGAUGGACUAGACCUCCUACAAACCCCCCUACCUGGUGUGUGCGUGUUGGUUGAAGGGCAGCAGAGAGGUUGUGUAUUCUUGGGAGUCAGCCAACUCUUUCAACAGACAGACAGCAAAAAGAAACUACGCAGUUUUGUCUCUCAGUUCCUCUAUGAUUAA